rnacentral:rRNA from 1 species
CCUACGGGAGGCAGCAGUGAGGAAUAUUGGACAAUGGGCGCAAGCCUGAUCCAGCCAUGCCGCGUGCAGGAAGAAGCAUCUAUGGUGUGUAAACUGCUUUUGUACGGGAAGAAACACUCCUACGUGUAGGAGCUUGACGGUACCGUAAGAAUAAGGAUCGGCUAACUCCGUGCCAGCAGCCGCGGUAAUACGGAGGAUCCAAGCGUUAUCCGGAAUCAUUGGGUUUAAAGGGUCCGUAGGCGGUUUAAUAAGUCAGUGGUGAAAUCUGGUCGCUUAACGAUCAAACGGCCAUUGAUACUGUUAGACUUGAAUUAUUGUGAAGUAACUAGAAUAUGUAGUGUAGCGGUGAAAUGCUUAGAUAUUACAUGGAAUACCAAUUGCGAAGGCAGGUUACUAACAAUAUAUUGACGCUGAUGGACGAAAGCGUGGGGAGCGAACAGGAUUAGAUACCCUGGUAGUCCACGCCGUAAACGAUGGAUACUAGCUGUUGGGCGCAAGUUCAGUGGCUAAGCGAAAGUGAUAAGUAUCCCACCUGGGGAGUACGUUCGCAGAAUGAAACUCAAAGGAAUUGAACGG